AAUUUAACUAACAACAAUUACAAAGAAAGUUUAUGUUUCAACAACUUGGUUUGCGCAAUUGUUUAUGCAAAUUGUUUUGUUUGUUGGUUGGCAGCGCGUGUUUAUUUAAUUGCAGUGCUUUGUAGUGCAGUGUAGUGCAUGGUGUAGUGCAAGAGCCAAAAGCGCUAAGCGCUCCAAAUCGUUUAUAGAACGUGCGAAACGUUAACGUUAACAGUUACAGUUACAACAGCCAAACAACAUAUUGAAACAUAAUGAAGUUACAGCGGCUCAGCUGCAUGCUGAUUAAAUAAAAAAAAUACAAAAUUAUAUAGUACAGCGCCAAGUGAAGUGACUUUAACAAUUUACAAUUCGCACACACACCACAGCGAAGGGGAGAGUGAAAGGCAGAGCGAGAGGAGGCGAGAGAGCAAAUUUACGCAGUCUGUGGAGAGGAAACUGAAGCAGCUGAGCGCAACUCAAGCAAAUUGAAAUUG